CAGGGACACGAGUAACAACAGGAUUCCACAUGUGAAUAAGGAUUGGAACGUGAAUGUCGACGCGAGCUCAAUACACUAUGAUCUGACCAUCUACAACAUCCAACCGUGUUUGACCCUUCCAGGUUCAAUGCUGGCCCAUCAGAUCCCAAGCAAUUCCCCUUCAUUUUAGCCGGGAACAAGGUUCAUGUAGACACUGGAAGCAGACGAGUGGAAAAAAUGAAAGAGAAAAGAGAAUAGGCAAUUAUGACAGAAGCACGGACAUCUUGAAUCAAUGCAUAAGGCAGGUUGUAUCACUUUUCUUGAUCUGGUUGAUGGUUAGUAUUCUCUUGUUAGAAGUCGCAUCUUUGAUGUCGGGGCCUGGGAU